rnacentral:rRNA from 1 species
AACGAACGCUGGCGGCAUGCCUAACACAUGCAAGUCGAACGAGACCUUCGGGUCUAGUGGCGCACGGGUGCGUAACACGUGGGAAUCUGCCCUUUGCUUCGGAAUAACAGUUAGAAAUGACUGCUAAUACCGGAUGAUGUCGAAAGACCAAAGAUUUAUCGGCAAAGGAUGAGCUCGCGUAGGAUUAGGUAGUUGGUGGGGUAAAGGGCUACCAAGCAGACGAUCCUUAGCUGGUCUGAGAGGAUGAUCAGCCACACUGGGACUGAGACACGGCCCAGACUCCUACGGGAGGCAGCAGUGGGGAAUAUUGGACAAUGGGCGAAAGCCUGAUCCAGCAAUGCCGCGUGAGUGAUGAAGGCCUUAGGGUUGUAAAGCUCUUUUACCAGGGAUGAUAAUGACAGUACCUGGAGAAUAAGCUCCGGCUAACUCCGUG